rnacentral:rRNA from 1 species
GACGAACGCUGGCGGCGUGCUUAACACAUGCAAGUCGAGCGCGAAAGGGGGCAACCCCGAGUAGAGCGGCGGACGGGUGAGUAACGCAUCGGAACGUGCCCAGUAGUGGGGGACAACCUCGAGAAAUCGAGGCUAAUACCGCAUACGACCCACGGGUGAAAGCGGGGGACCGCAAGGCCUCGCGCUAUUGGAGCGGCCGAUGUCCGAUUAGCUAGUUGGCGGGGUAAGAGCCCACCAAGGCGACGAUCGGUAGCUGGUCUGAGAGGACGACCAACCACACUGGGACUGAGACACGGCCCAGACUCCUACGGGAGGCAGCAGUGGGGAAUUUUGGACAAUGGGGGCAACCCUGAUCCAGCCAUGCCGCGUGCGGGAAGAAGGCC